rnacentral:lncRNA from 1 species
GGUGUUGACGCCGUAGCCCUGGCUGUACAGGUUGCCGUACCCGCACGCGCCACCUGCGAAGAGUCAGGGAAAAAGCGGGUGAGCGACUGUUUUUCGUAAAUGCGUUUGCUGUGUGCGAGGUGUUUGAUGAAGUGCGUGUGAGAGCAAGUGUUAAAAUGGAAAACUCAGGUUCUUGAUGUUUCCUGGAGUAAUAGUAAAACCAGAUUUGGUCCAAAACAGAAUAAUGUGCUUGAUUUCAAAUUAGGGUCUGACAUCUGAAUAGCGGAUCGCCAAGAACACAACAAUGCUUGCUAGGUGUUUGGGAAAAUGGGAAGGAAGUCCAAGUGGUAAAGUCGGCUUCUUGUUAAGAUGCACUCUGCCAAAGCAGUUUCGUGGAAUGUAGCUUGAAAUUGAGGGUUGUGAUCCUAACUGUCCUGGGAAAUGCAGUUCGAGAGAUCAUGUGUUCACUAUGGUGAAGCGGGAAAAAAAUGCAGAUGAGGG